AACCUAGGUUUUCAUGUAUCUAACCCUUAUUUCUUCCUUUCUCGUCCGUUCCCAUCAUCUAGGUUUAAUAUAUCUAACACUUCUUUAUUCCCAUUUUUCCCUAAAUCCCUAAAUCCAUAAGUUCUCCAUUCAAACUCCCUUAUCUGCUCAUUCCCUAAAUCCCUAAACAACCUUGGUGAGUUUCGCAGGUGGGAUGCUGGCGAUGCUCAACGAGCCCCAUCUCUCGCUUAAGCUUCACGCGCACUCCAACCUCAACAAAUUGGUCGACACCUUCUGGCCGAGAUCUCCACUAGUCGGCCUAAGAUAGUGGAGACAAUUUGUGUGCAGUUGUGAUUUGCUUCCAGCACCAACCUCCUCGCAACUUGGUGGCCCCUUGGUCUAGAGUGCACUAGAGCUUCUCUGCUUAAGGUUUGAAGGAGUUGCAGAGUUUCCUUGAGAACUUGGGAUCUUGUGGAACUGUGUAUAUCAUGCUUUGUAGUAUGGAUUGGUAUGUUCUUUCCUCUUCUUGUAAUUUUUGUUUUAAAUUUCAUCUUCCUUAACAUGUUUAAGUUUUUUGUAUACUUUACACUAUUGGUUAUGUUGCAAUUCAAAUUACUAUCAUUUAAAGUCCUUUUUUAAAGUGUUCAAUUGAAAUUUACUUUGUGCAUCAGACAAAAAUAUAUUCAUGUUUCUUUAGGGUGUUACGGUUAAGGUUUUCUCAAAGCAAGAAUAUUCAGAUAAUGUACCUAUUAUAGAAAGAUAAUGCUUACUCAAGUUCUUUGGCUUGAUUCUUCACAGCAUUAGCAACCUCUAUGGCUGAUUGCUUUGAUGGCUCAUUUAGAUGGACCAAAAAUGUUAUAUUGUCAUGCAACAUUGUAUUUGCAUUUUAUUAGAACUAACUAUAAUUAUGCCUUUUCUUAUCCCUUUGUUUUGAGAUUGCCAUCAAACUUGAAAAGGUCUUCCACCCAAUAAUUAUAUGUGCAACAUUUGCAGAGCUAUCAACAAUUGCUUUGGAUAUAUUAUACAAGGACCUGUUUGUUUUAGAUUUAAAUUAUUGUAAAAGUUAAAUUUGAGUGUUAUGAGAUAUUAAUAUUAAGUAGUUGUAUUUAUUUCUUUGAACUCUCUUU